rnacentral:rRNA from 1 species
UGUAGGGGGCAAGCGUUGUCCGGAAUUAUUGGGCGUAAAGAGCGCGCAGGCGGGUCUGUCAGUCUACCGUGAAAGCUUACGGCUCAACCGUAACGGGUCGGUGGAUACUGCAGAUCUUGAGGGCAGGAGAGGAAAGUGGAAUUCCCAGUGUAGCGGUGAAAUGCGUAGAUAUUGGGAGGAACACCAGUGGCGAAGGCGACUUUCUGGACUGUUACUGACGCUGAGGCGCGAAAGCUGGGGGAGUGAACGGGAUUAGAUACCCCGGUAAUCCCAGCCGUAAACGAUGGGUACUAGGUGUAGGAGGUAUCGACCCCUUCUGUGCCGGAGUUAACGCAAUAAGUACCCCGCCUGGGGAGUACGGUCGCAAGACUG